rnacentral:rRNA from 1 species
CAGUCGCCGCGGUAAUACAGAGGGUGCGAGCGUUAAUCGGAUUUACUGGGCGUAAAGCGUGCGUAGGCGGCUUUUUAAGUCGGAUGUGAAAUCCCUGAGCUUAACUUAGGAAUUGCAUUCGAUACUGGGAAGCUAGAGUAUGGGAGAGGAUGGUAGAAUUCCAGGUGUAGCAGUGAAAUGCGUAGAGAUCUGGAGGAAUACCGAUGGCGAAGGCAGCCAUCUGGCCUAAUACUGACGCUGAGGUACGAAAGCAUGGGGAGCAACCAGGAUUAGAUACCCCCGUAGUCCCUGUCUCUUAUAC